rnacentral:rRNA from 1 species
GACGAACGCUGGCGGCGUGCCUAAUACAUGCAAGUCGAACGCAGUGGGGACGGGUGAGUAACACGUGGGUAACCUCCCAUCAGAGGGGAUAACACUUGGAAACAGGUGCUAAACCGAUACUGAUGGAUGGACCCGCGGGGCAUUAGCUAGUUGGUGAGGUAACGGCGCACCAAGGCCACGAUGCAUAGACGACCUGGGAGGGGGGUCGGCGACACGUGGACUGGGACACGGCCCAGACUCCUACGGGAGGCAGCAGUAGGGAAUCUUCGGCAAUGGACGAAAGUCUGACCGAGCAACUCCGCGUGAGUGAAGUAGUUUUUCGGAUCGUAAAACUCUGUUGUUAGAGCAGCGGUAUCUAACCAGAAGGCCACGGCUAACUACGUGCCAUCAGCCGCGGUAAUGC